rnacentral:lncRNA from 1 species
ACGAUGUAAGGCAUAAGGUCUCAUGAUGUAAGCCAUGGCAGAUGACCUGAAACCCUAAUCUUCGAGUAUUUAAUGGAAUGAGAUGGCUAGGAUUUCCCAUCCUCAUCCGCUCUCACUCUCUAGCCCCCUAAAAACCCUAACUUUGACCUCCUUGAGACUUUGGGCCAUUGUUGGUGAUUUUGAAGAGCUUACUUGGAGAUUUUGGUUCUUUGAAGUGAAAGAAGGCUCUUGUAGUGCUUCAUUUUGGCAAUCUAGCUUCUACCUCUUGGAUUUGCUGAGCUUGUGAGCAUUUGUAAGUCAUAAAGCUCUUAUCUUUUUGCCUUAUGCAUGCUAGAUCUAAGCUUUGGAACCUUUCUUUGCAUGGUUGGGUUGUUUAACAUGCAUGAGAUCUAUAAAGUUAGCAAAUUUAUGGAUUAUUGAGGCAUCUUCUAUAUGUGAGUCCUUGGAUCUGAGUUUUGGUGUGGGUUUUGGACUCCAAACUUGAGUCUUGAUCUUAAUACCCUUCUUUUAACCUAGUUAGUGUCUAGGUCAUGCAUUGGACAUGAAUGAUUGAAAAGCUACAAUUUUUAUGGUCCUUAAGGUCGAGGAAGGUGUUCUGGAAAGUCUUAGAGAUGUCGGAGUUGUCUACAUAGCUGCAGGAGCUGUUAGACAAGGGGUUCAUUCGACCGAGCAGUUUGCCAUGGGGAGCACCGAUCCUGUUUGUGAAGAAGAAUGAUGAGUCUCACCGGAUGUGUAUUGAUUACCGGGAGUUGAAUAAGCUAAUGGUAAAGAAGUGUUAUCCACUCCCGAAGAUUGAUGAUUUGUUUGACUAGCUUCAGGGUGCAUCAUGGUUUUUCGAUAUUGAUUUGCGUUCAGGUUACCAUCAGAUGAGGGUCAGAGAGGAGGAUGUGUAGAAGACUGCAUUUCGGACUCGUUAUGGUCAUUACGAGUUCGUGGUGAUGCCCUUCGGGCUCACCGAUGCUCCAGCCUCGUUCAUGUUGGAAUAGUGUCUAAGGCUGCAACUAUAUUAGACAAGUAGUUGAUCCGGUUGUGCAUGGUCCUUUUGGGUUGCCUUCACCAUAGCAACUUGAUAGGAUGAUUUAUUAAGAGAGAGUAAAUAUUAUUAAUAUAUUAUGGGAAUAAUAUAGUGAAUAAUAUAUUUGUUAUUUGAUUAAUAUAAGUCAUAGAAUUAAUUAGAAUUAAUUUGGUGACUUAAAGAGAUUAAUUAAAUAAAGGGGUAUAAACUGUCAAUUGUUUGAUAGUUAAGCUUUAGACUGUAAAUCCAUUUGGAUAUGGUAUGGACGAAUUCUAAGAGGUUUAGGAUAGCUAAAAUCGUCCAUAUGAUUAUCUUAGGAAUGGAUUUGGAUAGCCUUAAGAGAAGAUUAUCCAAUUAGGGUUUAGGUUGUAACCCUUAAGGAGUCUACAAGUAUAAAUAGACCCUAUGGCUGAUGGAAUUCGACACUUGACCUAAAGUAAGGAACCUCUGGUCGAAAUUCCUCCCCUCUCCUCUCUCCUAAAUCAUUCUUCUUGCUUUGGUGUUUGUAAGCCAUUAGAGGAGUGACAUUUGUGACUCUAGAAGCUCCAAGACCUCAAGAUCAACAAGGAACUCAAAGGUAUGAUUCUAGAUCUGUUUCAAUGUUGUUAUUUAACCUAAUUAGUCAUUAGAAGACUUGGAUUCAAAGCAUGUUUAUUAGAAAGCCUAGAUCCAAGCAUUAGGGUUUUGCAUGCGCACAUAGGAAAGUUCUUAUGGCUAAAACCCAUCAGUGGUAUCAGAGCCUAGCUUGGUUUUCUUUAAAUUGUUGCUUGAUUAACUGAAACAAACCUGCAAAAUUCGAUUUUUAGGUUUCUGAGUCACUGACUCGGCGAGUCCCAAGGUGGACUCGGCGAGUAGGCCUGACUCGGCGAGUCCCCUUGUGCACUCGGCGAGUCCAGGCGUCAGGAAUGGCCAGAUUCGGGAUUUCUUUGUGUUUAUCUUAUCUUAACUUACCAUAAACUAAUUAGAUCAACAUUAAUUCGUUUUUCUGAUAAAUAUAACUAUUAUCUUGAUCUAGUUAAAGGUAAUUAUCAACUAAUUAAAUAUUUAAUUUCCUUAUAUGAUAAUUAAUUAAUUAUUUUAAUUAUUUUGGUAAUUAUCUUAAAAAGAAAUCUUGAAUAAAUCAAAUAUAGAUAAUUAGGAUAUUAAUUGUUAAUUGGAAUUAUUUGUUAUUUGAUCCUCCAUGUUUUAAAUGUUUAAAACUUGCCCUCAAGUUUUGAAAUUUAUAUUUGUGAUUAAAAGUUUUAAUUUAGACAACUUAAAUUUCAAACCCUAGAUUUUAAAAGUUUUAAAAUACAACCCUAUACUAAUAUGAUAUUACUAGAAUAAUAUAUAUAUGUAUAACUAAAUGCUAGUCUUACCGUUAGUAGGCCUCAUUCACGAAGCCGAUCUAUAAGGUGGGUAUAAGGUUGCGGCCUAUAAAAUGGCGCUUAAUGGGUGUACACUCACACCCACCGCUUGCUUGAUUGGUGGAGGGUCGUUAGCCGAACGGGUAGGAUAGGGCAACCUCAUCCUCUCAUUAAAAGUAUAAUAAGAAAUACAAAGUAACUACACAUAUUUUAAAAUUUCCCAAUCCUAGUUACUUUAGGAAAAGUGAAUUGAUGCAAUCCCAUGAAAUUACACUUUGCACCUUGCUAAGAUGUUAGUGGAGCGUGUGUGGUUUACCGGCACACUAAUUGGUUCUAAGCGAAGGUGGCAAAGGGUGAUUCAUUGUUUAUCAUAGUUCGAUGGAGCGUGUGUGGUUUACCGGCACAUCGAAUAGGUGAUCGUUACAAUGAAGGCACCAUGUGAAUUUGCAUGGUAAUUCACACCCGCUUUGUGAUCCUCGGCAUCCCAGUCACAAACAAGAGGGGCAUAUCGAGAUUUAAACAUGCCAUUGAAUAGUUUCAAUGAAUCUCAUCCGAACCUAGGAAUUCUCAAAAACACUUAGGACUAAUAGUUUAAGUUUUGUGAUGGAGAAUUAGUGAAUCGUCAUUCACUUACCUUCAAUUUAUUUGCAUGUUAGAUUACGGCAUCCCUUUUCUAGUAUGUAAAUGUUAUUGUUGGAUCCUAGCCCUAAUUUUCUUAUUGGGUGAUAAUUAGGGAUUCUUAUUCUAAUCUAUCUUUGUCCUUUUCUAAUUGUAGAUGUCGAACGCAAACAACGCUGCUGCUAGUUCUUUCACGUUGAUGAGCCUUUGCCAAAAGGUCACCUUCGAUGGAACGAACUUUAGCGAAUGGAUAAGAUACAUUCGCACCAUUGCUCGCUAUGAGGAUAAGGAGUAUGUCCUCGAUGAGAAGCUCGAGAAAAUCAACCCCGAAAUCGCUACUCCCGCCGAAAUCACCGCUUUUGAGACUCAUGAGCGAGAUGCAACGAAGGUACAUUGCAUCAUGAUCGCCACCAUGAACUCCGAAUUCCAAAAGUCCUACGAGGACAUGUACCCGUACGAGAUGCAUCAAGACUUAUUGGAGAGGUACCACCAAAACGCGAGACAAGAGAGGUACGAGAUUUUCACUAACAUGAUUUCCGCGAAGAUGGGUCAUGGAGAAUCUCUUACCGUGCACUUGCAAAAGAUGCAAAGGUAUGUCGACCGCCUUCGCAAGUUAAAUGUUGACUUCGGUGAGGAUUUGGCGAUCGACAUGGUGCUUCACUCUUUGCCUCCGAUGUACAAUCAAUUUAGGAUGACCUACCACAUGAACAAAGAAGAGGUCACCCUAAGCAAGCUCCAAGGUCUCUUGAGGGUUGCUGAGAGCAACUUCAAAGACAAGUCUGUUGCACCUACUCCCAAUCCGCCCGCUGCUCCUGUCUUGGCUAUUGGACAAGGGAAGGGAAAGAAGAGGAAAGCUUCAUCGAAGAACUAUCGCAAGGUGAAAGCCCGAGAUGGUGCCUCUUCUAGUGGGACCAAAGUUGAUCCCGCUAAGCCCUGCUCUAACCCGAAGGAGGCAGAGUGCCACCACUGCCACAAGAUAGGACAUUGGAAGAGAAGCUGCCCGGAUUACCUGCAAGCAAUCAAAGAAGGAAAGAUCAAGCCAUCUUUCGCAGGUAUAUAUACAAUCAAAUCUAACGAUUCUAAUCAUGCUAUUUCUUGGGUUCUUGAUACCGGUUGUGGUUAUCACAUUUGUUCUAAUGUGCAGGGACUAAGAAGAAGUAGGGAUGUGGAGCAAGGAAGGAUCAAUCUAAUCAUGGGGAACAGAAGAUCGUCGCCUGUGACCAAGAUUGGAGUGUAUUCCUUAGUGCUUAGGAAUAGUUUAGUUUUAGAUUUGAACAAUUGUUGCUAUUCGCCAGAAAUGGCAAGAAACAUCAUUUCAUUUCAUGGUUUAUAUAGACAAGGAUUUAGAUUUUCUUUUAAUAAUGAGAAUGGUUCUAUUUUGGCUUAUCUAAAUGGUGUCUUUUACUUUGAAGCUAUACCAUGUAAUGGAAUAUAUGAAACCGUUAUGAUUGUUGAUAACUUAGGAAAUGAUGUUUUGAAUAUUGAUUCUUCCACUAGUAUGGAUAAAGCAUCCUUGUGGCAUUGUCGUCUUGGACAUGUCAACAAGAAACGCAUAGCCCAACUCCAAAAGGAUGGAGUGUUGGAGUCAUUCGACCUUAGGGAAGAUGACACAUGCGAGUCUUGUUUGCUUGGAAAGAUGACUAAGUCACCCUUCACGAGUACAUGUGAAAGGGGCGAGGGUCUAUUGGACCUAAUACAUACCGAUGUAUGUGGACCGUUUAGAUCAACCACGAAGGAUGGGAACCGCUUCUAUGUGACUUUUACCGAUGACUAUAGUAGAUAUGGGUAUAUCUACUUAAUCAAGCAAAAGUCAGACACCUUUGAAAAGUUCAAAGAGUUCAAGAAUGAAGUGGAGAAUCAAUUGGGCAGGAAAAUCAAGAUGCUUCGAUCCGAUCGAGGAGGAGAGUACCUAAGUCUUGAAUUCCACGAUUAUCUCAAGGAGUGUGGAAUAGUUUCACAAUUGACGCCUCCUAGGACACCGCAGUUGAAUGGUGUGGCAGAAAGGCGUAAUCGAACCUUAUUGGAUAUGGUUCGCUCUAUGAUGAGUCGUGCUUCACUACCAAUCUCUUUUUGGGGGUAUGCCUUAGAGACUGCCGCCCAUAUCCUUAACCGAGUCCCUACUAAGAAGGUUGCCAAAACACCUCACGAGAUGUGGACAGGGAAAGCUCCCUCGUUGGCACAUAUCAAGGUUUGGGGUUGCGAGGCUUUCGUAAGACGAGAUACUCACGACAAGCUUGAACCUCGAAGUGAGCGAUGUAUUUUCAUCGGCUACCCGCAGACAUCCUUUGGAUAUCUCUUCUAUAGACCGAAGGACAAUGUUGUCUUCGUUGCGAGGAGAGGAGUUUUCCGAGAGCGAGAACUCAUAAGCCAAGGAGACAGUGGGAGGCAAAUCGAACUUGAAGAGAUUCAAGAGUCGAUAGAUGAAGGAACCUCUACCGCUGGCACUCAACCCGAGGAGGAAACUCCGGUUGAACCGAUUGACGAAUCCUUACCUCUUAGACGUUCCGAUAGAGUUAGAGUUCAUCCCCAGUUUUAUGGCUUUCAUAUUACUACCGAAGGGGACACGUAUAUUAGUGAUGGUACACUAGUAAAUCUUGAUGAACCUAAUAGCUAUAAGGAAGCCAUGGCAGGCCCGGAGUCUGCAAAAUGGAAAGAGGCAAUGGAUAGCGAGAUCCAAUCCAUGUAUGAUAACCAAGUUUGGAAUUUGGUUGAUUAUGUGCCCGGACGUAAGACCGUUGGGUGCAAAUGGAUCUUCAAGAAGAAGACCGACGUGGAUGGAAACGUACACACAUAUAAAGCGCGAUUGGUUGCGAAGGGCUUUACUCAAACUCCCGGAGUUGACUAUGAUGAGACCUUCUCACCAGUUGCGAAGAUUAAAUCUAUUAGAGUGAUGCUAGCUAUUGCCGCAUUUCAUGAUUAUGAGAUUUGGCAAAUGGAUGUCAAGACCGCUUUCCUUAACGGAAAGUUGGCUGAGGAUGUUUACAUGGCUCAGCCAGAGGGGUUUGUGGAUCCGAAGCAUCCGGAUAGAGUGUGUAAGCUUGAGAAGUCCAUUUAUGGACUUAAGCAAGCGUCUCGCAGAUGGAAUCUUUGCUUCGAUGAGAAAGUCAAAGAGUUUGGAUUUGUACGAAGCGAAGACGAAUCUUGUGUAUAUGUCAAAGCCAGUGGGAGUAUAGUAAGCUUCCUCGUUCUAUAUGUCGAUGACAUAUUACUCAUAGGAAACGACAUCCCGACUCUGCAGGAGGUUAAGUCCUGGCUCGGGAAGUGCUUCGCUAUGAAGGACCUCGGAGAGGCUUCUUACAUUUUGGGAAUAAGGAUAGUAAGAGAAAGAAGUAAGAGACUAAUUGGACUUAGUCAGAAUACUUACUUAGAGAAGGUACUAAAACGUUUUAGUAUGGAAAACUCAAAGAAGGGAGAACUACCGAUACAAAGUAAUGCCAAAUUGAGUAAGACUCAAAGUCCGAGUACCGAAGCUGAGAUAGCAGAAAUGAGCCGAGUACCAUACGCUUCCGCAGUUGGCUCAAUCAUGUACGCUAUGACUUGUACUCGCCCUGAUGUAGCCUUCGCUUUGAGCAUGGUUAGCAGAUAUCAAGGGAAUCCUGGCAAAGCACAUUGGAUUGCGGUGAAGAAUAUCCUUAAGUACCUUCGGAGGACGAAGGAAUGGUUCUUAGUCCUCGGAGGGAGUGAUGACUUGAAGGUGCGAGGGUAUAGUGACGCCAGUUUUCAGACCGACAGGGACAACUACCGUUCGCAGUCGGGCUGGGUCUUUACCCUAAAUGGAGGAGCAGUGACAUGGAAGAGUUCCAAGCAGGAAACCGUAGCUGAUUCAACGUGCGAAUCAGAGUACAUUGCAGCGAGCGAAGCGUCGAAGGAGGCAAUAUGGCUAAAGAACUUCAUCGGUGAUCUUGGAGUUGUACCUGCCAUAAAGGAGCCAAUGGAGAUUUUCUGUGAUAACGAAGGUGCGGUUGCCUUAACCAAGGAACCGAGGGAUCAUGGUAGAUCAAGACAUAUCGACAGAAAAUAUCACUUCAUUAGACAUCGUGUAGAAGAAGGACAACUCGUAGUGAAGAGGAUAUCAUCAGAAGAUAACCCAGCAGAUCCGCUUACGAAGGGACUGAGUAGGGUUAAGCACUUGCAGCAUGCUAGGAGUAUUGGGCUGAAGGAUGAUAUUAGCAUAGAUUAGAUAGUAUUAGAAACGUGUAAUAGAUAAAUGUAAUUAACAUUUGAUGAUUAAAUAAAGGAGUUUUAUUUAUGAGUAAUGUUACUAUCUUAUGUUAAUUGUUUAGCUAUUGUUUCACUUUGCAUGUUUUGACUUCCAGAAUAAUUGAGUUUAUUAGGAAUAAUCGAAUUGUUCAAAUGGUCCACAAUCGUUCAUAUGUUGGGAGUAGAUAUGAAUGAAGAUUGUCAUGAAUUGGUGUGUAGAAUGUCUAAAUGGUGUUAGACAUAGCAAAGGAUUGCUGCAACGUUCAUGAGUGCUUAUGAACUAGUUUUGAGCAUUGGAAUAAACCCGCGCUUGCUGGAAUCACCUUAUGGAAUACGAUAUAAAAGGUGAUCGCAAGACGAUAAUAUCAUAUAGUCUUAAAACCUAGAUAUAUGGUUUAUUAUUUGUUAAUUGAUUGUACAUUGAUAAUACGAAAACGCAUCAGUAACUUGGUGUUAUAAAACGUAUUGUUGUGUAUAGUUGGUUAAUGAAUAAGUAAAUGCAUAUAAGUCGAAGUUUAUCUGUAACUUUUAUCUAAGAAGGUAAAAGCGAUAUCUCGGCCGCUCGAUGAUUUGAUUUGACUUAUGUGCCGGGCCCGGUCAGAACUGAAUUGAUGUGUUCGAUUAAGUUCUAUGUCAAAUAAAUCAGAGAUCGAGAAACCUAAAUGCUUGACUAACCAUUCCAUAGGAUUGUCAGCAUGAUAUCUAACAGAGGACUGUACGUUCCCUUAUCUAAAGGACAAGAUUGAUUAGAUCAGAGUUGACAGCGUCUUUGAGAGCUACGAUUGCAAACCGAAUUGUACUUGUAUAGUUACUAGACUUAUCCAAGUGGGAGACUGUUGGAAUAGUGUCUAAGGCUGUAACUAUAUCCGGUUGUGCAUGGUCCUUUUGGGUUGCCUUCACCAUAGCAACUUGAUAGGAUGAUUUAUUAAGAGAGAGUAAAUAUUAUUAAUAUAUUAUGGGAAUAAUAUAAUGAAUAAUAUAUUUGUUAUUUGAUUAAUAUAAGUCAUAGAAUUAAUUAGAAUUAAUUUGGUGACUUAAAGAGAUUAAUUAAAUAAAGGGGUAUAAACUGUCAAUUGUUUGAUAGUUAAGCUUUAAACUGUAAAUCCAUUUGGAUAUACUAUGGACGAAUUCUAAGAGGAUUAGGAUAGCUAAAAUCGUCCAUUAGAGUUAUCUAGGAAUGGAUUUGGAUAGCCUUAAGAGAAGAUUAUCUGAUAGGGACUUAUCUGUAAUCCUUAAGGAGUCUACAAGUAUAAAUAGACCCCAUGGCUGAUGGAAUUCGACACUUGACCUAAAGUAAGGAACCUCUGGUCGAAAUUCCUCCCCUCUCCUCUCUCCCAAAUCAUCCUCCUUGCUUUGGUGUUUGUAAGCCAUUAGAGGAGUGACAUUUGUGACUCUAGAAGCUCCAAGACCUCAAGAUCAACAAGGAACUCAAAGGUAUGAUUCUAGAUCUGUUUUAAUGUUGUUAUUUAACCUAAUUAGUAAUUAGAAGUCUUGGAUUCAAAGCAUGUUUAUUAGAAAGCCUAGAUCCGAGCAAUAGGGUUUUGCAUGCGCACAUAGGAAAGUUCUUAUGGCUAAAACCCAACAGUUCAUGGACCUCAUGAACCGUGUGUGCAAGUCAAUGCUAGAUCGGUUUGUGAUUGUAUUCCGUGAUGAUAUCCUGAUCUAUUCCAAGACCUAGGAGCUGCAUGAGGAGCACUUGAGGGAGAUAUUAGAGACUUUAAGGAAUGAGAGACUUUAUGCAAAGUUCUCCAAGUGUGAGUUCUGGUUGCGUGAGGUGCAGUUUCAGUUUGUGGGACACCUUAUCAACGAGAAUGACAUUCUAGUCGACCUGGCCAAGGUGGAGGUCGUGAUGAGGUGGGAUGUUCUUAGAUCUUCAUCUGAGAUUUGAAGUUUCCUUGGUUUGGCAGUUUGUUAUCGCAGAUUCAUUCAAGAUUUCUACAAGAUAGCAUUUCCCCUAACACGACUGACGAAGAAGACUGCCACUUUUUGAUGGGGGUCUGAGCUGCAGGCAGCGUUUGAGACCUUCAGGCAGGGAUUGUGCGAGGCAUCGAUUCUAACCCUGUUGGAGGGUGUUGAGGAUUUCGUGGUUUAUUGUGACGUGUCUCUCAUGGGAUUGGGCAUUGUUUUAAUGCAGAAGGGUCAUGUUAAUGCUUAUGCUUCGAGGCAGCUGAAGCCACAUUAGACGAAUUACCUGACACAUGAUUUGGAGCUGGGGGCAAUGGUUUUUGCCCUCAAGAUUUGGCAACAUUACCUCUAUGGGGUCCAAUGUACUAUUUACACGGAUCACAAGAUCCUGACGUACUUGAUGGAUCAGCUGAAUCUGAAUCUGAGGCAACGUCGGUGGUUGGAUGUGGUGAAGGAUUAUGAUUAUGAGAUCAUUUACCAUCUGAGGAAGGCCAAUGUAGUGGUCGAUGCUCUCAGCUGUAAGGUGGUCGUGGCUCCGAUUAGGGAUAUUUGUAUGAGGAUGAGAAUGAUUACUCCACUCUUGGAGCAGAUUUGGGAGGCUUAGGUCCAGGAUAUGAAGGAAGAGUACCGAAAUAGUGAGCGCAUAGUGGGUCAGGUGGCUUCCUUCGAUAAUGAUAGUCGGGUUUAUUAACUCUCCAUCACAGAGUGUGGGUUCCUUACUGGGGAGGUGCACGUUAGGUUCUGAUAGAGGAGGCGUGUAAAUCGGGAUUCUCCAUUCAUCCUGGGGUGACAAAAAUGUAGAGAUUUUCGUCCUGAUUAUUGGUGACCCUGUAUGAAGUAGGACGUUGCUUGGUAUGUGGACAGGUGCUUGAUUUGCAGGAAAUUCAUGGCCGAACAUCAGCGACCCUAUGGCAAGAUGCAACCUUUAGAUAUUCCUAUUUGGAAACAGGAGGAGAUUACCAUGGAUUUUAUUAUGAAGUUGCCUUGGACAACGCGUGGAAUGGAUUCAAUUUGGGUCAUCGUGGAUCUAUUGACCAAGAGAGCAAACUUUAUUUUGAUUCAGGAGAGUAUCUCUACGAAGAAGUUAGUUGAUAUUUAUAUCAGGGAAGUUGUGACACGUCAUAGGGUGGCGGUUUCAGUGGUAUCAGACAAGUAUCUCAGGUUUACUUCCAGGUUUUGGAAGAGGUUUCACAAGGAGUUAGGUAAUCGCCUGCAUUUUAGCACGAGUUUUCACCCUCAUAUGGAUGGUUAGAGCGAGCGGACCAUCCAUACAUUGGAGGAUAAAUUGCGGGCGUGUGUUCUAGACUUCAGUGGUAGCUGGGAUACGUAUCUUCCGUUAACGGAAUUUUAGUAUAACAAUAGCUACCAUGCUAACAUCGAUCAACCUCCUUUUGAGAUGCUCUAUGGGAGGCAAUGCAGGACCCCGAUAUGUUGGGGUGAGGUCGGUCAGCGAUUCAUUGGGAGUACUGAGGUAGUUCUCAAGACCACUGAGUUGAUUCAAUAGGUUCGGAGUAGACUUCAGACAGCUCAUAUUCGGCAGAAAAGCUAUACCGACAAGCGUCGAUCAGACCUAGACUUUCAAAUUAGGAAUAUGUUUCUCCUGAAGGUGUCACCUCGUAAAUGUGUCAUUCAAUUCAGGAAGCAGGGCAAGCUAGGCCCCAGGUAUAUCAGUCCUUUUAGGGUUAUAUCCCGGGUGGGUAGGGUAGCAUAUCGGUUGGAUCUCCCAGAGGAACUCAGUCAGAUUCACAAUAUUUUCACGUCUCUCAGUUGCAGAAGUGUUUGGAUGUUGAUUCCGCAGUGGAAACAUUGAAAGGGUUCAGAAUGGAUGAUCGUCUGAACUACAUUGAGAGACCGGUAGCAAUCCUCGACGGGAAGACGAAGGCCUUGAGAAACAAAGUCAGAGAUUUGGUGAAGGCAUAGUGGCAGCAUCGAAAGGGUUCAGAAUGGACAUGGGAGCCUGAGGAUGAGAUGAUGGUGCAUUACCAAUAAUUAUUUACAGUGGCGUACUUUGAGGAUGAGGUCUGAUUCAAUUGGGGGAGAUUUGUAGCAACCGAAUCCUUGAGGUACUUAAAUUAUUGAAGUUUUGCAUUUUGGAUGAGGCUUAUGGCGUAAGACACAUUAGCCAUAACUUGAGAAUACCCAUUGAAUGUUUGACACGUAUCCUCGAACCUCACAAUGUGAAGCAUAAGGUCUCACGGCGUGAGCCAGGUCUGAUGACCCAAAACGCUAAUUUUCGAGUAUUUAAUGGAAUGAGAGGGCCAGGAUUGUCCAUCCUUAGCCUCUCUCACUCUCUAGCCCUCUGAAAUACAUAACUUCGACCUCUUUGAGACUUUGGGCCAUUGUUGGUGAUUUUGAAGAGCUUCAUUUUGGCAAUCUAGCUUCUACCUCUUGGAUUUGUUGAGCUUGUGAGCAUUUGUAAGUCAUAAAGCUCUUAUCUUUUUGCCUUAAUCAUUCUAGAUCUAAGCUUUGGAACCUUUCUUUGCAUGGUUGGGUUAUUUCACAUGCAUGAGGUCCAUAAAGUUGGCAGCUUUAUGGACCAUUAAGACAUCUUCUAUAUGUGAGUCCUUGGAUUUGGGUUUUGGUGUGUGUUUUGGACUCGAAGCUU